rnacentral:lncRNA from 1 species
AGCUUUCCAAAUCCAAAUCCAAACCCGAUUAUCAAAUCCGAAAUUCGAACAUAAUUCGAAUUCGAAUCCAACAAAAUUUUAAAAAUUCAUAUUGAAAUCUGAAUCCCCCGAACCAAAAAUCCGAAUCCGAAAUAAUUCUUUUUUUUACCAUAUUUUAAAACAUAUUAUAUCAUAUCUAAAUUUUAAAAUACAAAUUCAAAUAUAAUAUUAUAGAGAGAGAGAGAGUUGGGCUUCUAUACUAUUUAUAGUAUUAAAAAUCCUGUUCUAUAAUGUUUUAAACGUUUAGGAUCAUUUUUGAGAUUCGUGUAAUCUUAGGAGGGAGAAUCUCAACAUUAGUUUUCUUUUCUCAUCUCUCUAUCUUUCUCUCUCUCCUACGGGUGGAAAGGAGCCGAGCUCAAGCGAGCUUACUUCGGCUUAAAUUCAGUUUGAAAUUAAUUUCGAACCUAAAUUUAAGCUCAAGCUUGGUUUGAAAUUAAUUCGAGCCGAGCUCGAGCGAGCCUAAUUUUGAGUUGAGCGAGCUGAAGCCUUAAACGAGCCGUUUGAAAUUAUCAAUAUAGUACGAUCAACAGUUUAAUUUGUAUAGAACAUUAUCUAUAAUUUAAUACAAAAAUAAAUCUAAUAGUUCAAAGUGCAAAAUAAUUAUAUGAAAUAGGGCAUUAUAAUAUAAAGAAAAAUAACUUAUGAGUUGAAUAUCUAAUAUUUUCAGCCUCACAUGUCUUCUCUUUCGCUUUUAAUAUUUAUAUUAUUCUUUUUCAUUUAUGCGACUAAAAAAUAAAUAAAUUAUAUAGGCAAAUGUUGGAUUAAACUAUCCAAUGAUAUAUAACUAAAAUCAAAAUUUUAUAUAAACAAUAAUUUUUACUUUAAAAAUAUUAUGUAUAUUUUCUCAAACACACAAUUAAUGACAAGGUAGGCAACGACGUGUGUGUCUUGUUACUUGAUAACUCGGGGAACUUAAAGGCUUGACCACUUGGGGUAAGAGACAAAGAAAAAGAGAAAGAGAAAGAGAGAGAGAGAGAGAGAGAGAGAGAGAUUAGAAAUUUCGAAUAUGUGAAAGAAAGAAAGGGAGAAAGUAUAAAUUUAGUGAAAUUUUGCAUUUUUAUUUAUCUAUUGGGUUUAUUUUUAUGGACCAAUAAUAUUGGCCAAAUUUUAACUAAACUCAGGUUACUCAUUCAGCCUAUAUAUAAU